rnacentral:tRNA from 1 species
GAGAGAAUAGCUUAGUGGUAGAGCAUUCGUCCGCAGAUCGAGAGAUCCGUGGUUCAAUUCUGCGUACCCACU